rnacentral:rRNA from 1 species
GACGUAGGUGGCGAGCGUUGUCCGGAUUUACUGGGCGUAAAGAGCGCGCAGGCGGUCGUGCAAGUCGCGUGUGAAAGCCCCCGGCUCAACUGGGGAGGGUCACGCGAUACUGUUCGACUCGAAGGCAGGAGAGGGAAGUGGAAUUCCCGGUGUAGUGGUGAAAUGCGUAGAUAUCGGGAGGAACACCAGUGGCGAAGGCGACUUCCUGGCCUGUUCUUGACGCUGAGGCGCGAAAGCUAGGGUAGCAAACGGGAUUAGAUACCCCCGUAGUCC